GUAAAAGGUCAAUGCAUGGGGAACCAUUAGCGAAUAUCCCUGUUGAAUAAGAUCCCAAUCAACUAAAAGGAAAGUCUAUUUUUCCAGCUGAAUAGUGUCGAGAGGUGUCUAAACAGCCCCAGGAUUGUUGAAAAGAAACACGGUCACAGAUUACGACAGGGAAGUAAAGCUGACUAGGAAAUUGACACCAGCACGAUUCGCUUUGCAUGAAGUCAAAUCUUCUUCCAUCUCUGUCUGACAUAUACGAGUGUUGAGAGAAUUUUGCCAUCAGCUCAUUCUGAGACAAGAAGAAUAAAGCUGGGGAAGUAUUGGGAAGUAGCAGCGAUCACGA